rnacentral:rRNA from 1 species
AUUGAACUCUGGCGGCAUGCCUGACACAUGCAAGUCGAACGGUAACAGUUGUUCGGAUGCUGACGAGUGGCGAACGGGUGAGUAAUGCAUCCGAACGUGCCCAGUUGUGGGGGAUAACUGCUCGAAAGAGCAGCUAAUACCGCAUACGACCUGAGGGUGAAAGCGGGGGAUCGCAAGACCUCGCGCAAUUGGAGCGGCCGAUGUCAGAUUAGGUAGUUGGUGGGGUAAAGGCCUACCAAGCCGACGAUCUGUAGUUGGUCUGAGAGGACGACCAGCCACACUGGGACUGAGACACGGCCCAGACUCCUACGGGAGGCAGCAGUGGGGAAUUUUGGACAAUGGGCGCAAGCCCGAUCCAGCAAUGCCGCGCGCAGGAAGAAGGCCUUCGGGUUGUAAACUGCUUUUGUCAGGGAAGAAAUCCUCUGGGUUAAUACCCCGGGGGGAUGACGGUACCUGAAGAAUAAGCACCGGCUAACUACGUGCCAGCCGCCGCCGUAAUAC